CCUACGGGUGGCAGCAGUGGGGAAUAUUGCACAAUGGGCGCAAGCCUGAUGCAGCCAUGCCGCGUGUGUGAAGAAGGCCUUCGGGUUGUAAAGCACUUUCAGCGGGGAGGAAGGCGUUAAGGUUAAUAACCUUGUCGAUUGACGUUACCCGCAGAAGAAGCACCGGCUAACUCCGUGCCAGCAGCCGCGGUAAUACGGAGGGUGCAAGCGUUAAUCGGAAUUACUGGGCGUACAGCGCACGCAGGCGGUCUGUCAAGUCGGAUGUGAAAUCCCCGGGCUCAACCUGGGAACUGCAUUCGAAACGGGCAGGCUAGAGUCGUGUAGAGGGGGGUAGAAUUCCAGGUGUAGCGGUGAGAUGCGUAGAGAUCUGGAGGAAUACCGGUGGCGAAGGCGGCCCCCUGGACAAAGACUGACGCUCAGGUGCGAAAGCGUGGGGAGCAAACAGGAUUAGAUACCCGAGUAGUC
rnacentral:rRNA from 1 species